rfam:Glycine soja cultivar W05 C24625479_1, whole genome shotgun sequence.
UUCAACUGUGAUGAGCCUACAGAGUUACCUGUAAUGAGUUGCGGGGAUGAUCGGAAUCAUUAAUGAACAUCUAAGGGACUGAGUUAUC